rnacentral:tRNA from 1 species
GCUGGGGAUAGCUCAGUUGUAGAGUGCUUGCAUAGCAUGCAUGAGGCCCUGGGUUCAAUCCCCAGCACCAACA